AAAAAUUGGACUCAUGACACAAUUUCUGGGACAUGGAAGAGCUGAGGAUCUGUUGCAGCACAUCAAAGAAUGUGUUGCUCAGCUCAACAUGAGGCGGCUCCUCUCUGUGGGAAUGGAUGGCCCCAACGUAAACUUCAAGCUCCUCGAUCUCCUUCAAAAGGAGCAUAACGAGCUGUAUGGAGGUGCUCAAGUCCUGAUAGUUGGGAGCUGUGGACUUCACACUCUCCACAAUGCCAUGAAGGCAGGCUUUACAGCCUGGCAAAUUGACAAGCUCCUGCGUGCGCUCCAUUUCCUCUUUCACAACGUUCCUGCCCGCAGAGAGGACUACACCAUCACCACUGGGUCGUCCUGCUUUCCCCUCUCUUUCUGUGGCCACAGAUGGGUAGAGAAUGUGCCAGUUGCCGAGAGAGUCCUGGAAAUUUGGCCUAUGAUUCAGAAAUACAUCAAUGCUGGUAGACAUAGGCUUGGGGGCUGAAUCUUCCAUCAAGGUGAUGUCAUCAUUCAGCAGUUCACUUCCUGCUCUCAGUUGUGGGC